UCACCUCCACUUGUCCCA
rnacentral:misc_RNA from 1 species